rnacentral:tRNA from 1 species
AUUAAGAUGGCAGAGCCCGGUAAAUGCAAAAGACCUAAACUCUUUCUCCAGAGGUUCAAAUCCUCUUCUUAAUA